UCCAAGUUACCUUACAGGUGAGACCCUAUCAAUGUUGCCUCUGCUUAUUUGUACGUAUGAGUAGUGCAAUAUUGCUUAUAGGGUCUUUUCUAUCAGGGAUC
rnacentral:pre_miRNA from 1 species